rfam:Heterocephalus glaber contig185906, whole genome shotgun sequence.
AGGAGUGUAGCUCAGUGGUAGAGCACUUGCCUAGUAUGCAUGAGAACCCUGGGUUCCAUCCCCAGUACUGCAA